GCCGCUCUGGUGGAAUUGGUAGACGCGCCAGACUCAAAAUCUGGUGGGGGCAACCCCGUCCCGGUUCGAUUCCGGGGAGCGGCA
rnacentral:tRNA from 1 species